GCGUGGUAGGAGAGCGUUCUGUAAGCCUGUGAAGGUGUCUUGUAAAGGAUGCUGGAGGUAUCAGAAGUGCGAAUGCUGACAUGAGUAGCGAUAAAGGGGGUGAAAGGCCCCCUCGCCGUAAGCCCAAGGUUUCCUACGCAACGUUCAUCGGCGUAGGGUGAGUCGGCCCCUAAGGCGAGGCAGAGAUGCGUAGCUGAUGGGAAGCAGGUUAAUAUUCCUGCACCGUCGUAUGAUGCGAUGGGGGGACGGAUCGCGGAAGGUUGUCCGGGUGUUGGAAGUCCCGGUCCCUGCAUUGGAGAAGGCGCUCAGGCAAAUCCGGGCGCGGGAUUCAAGGAUGUGGGGCGAGCGGCCUAGAGCUGCGAAGCAAUUGGAAGUGGUUCCAAGAAAAGCCUCUAAGCUUCAGUCAUACGAGACCGUACCGCAAACCGACACAGGUGGGCGAGAUGAGUAUUCUAAGGCGCUUGAGAGAACUCGGGAGAAGGAACUCGGCAAAUUGGUACCGUAACUUCGGGAUAAGGUACGCCCUGGUAGCUUGACUGGCCUGCGCCAGAAGGGUGAAGGGGUUGCAAUAAAAUGGUGGCUGCGACUGUUUAAUAAAAACACAGCACUCUGCAAACACGAAAGUGGACGUAUAGGGUGUGACGCCUGCCCGGUGCCGGAAGAUUAAAUGAUGGGGUGCAAGCUCUUGAUUGAAGUCCCGGUAAACGGCGGCCGUAACUAUAACGGUCCUAAGGUAGCGAAAUUCCUUGUCGGGUAAGUUCCGACCUGCACGAAUGGCGUAACGAUGGCCACACUGUCUCCUCCCGAGACUCAGCGAAGUUGAAGUGUUUGUGAUGAUGCAAUCUCCCCGCGGCUAGACGGAAAGACCCCAUGAACCUUUACUGUAGCUUUGCAUUGGACUUUGAACCGAUCUGUGUAGGAUAGGUGGGAGGCUUAGAAGCGUGGACGCUAGUUCACGUGGAGCCGUCCUUGAAAUACCACCCUGGUUUGUUUGAGGUUCUAACCUUGGCCCGUGAAUCCGGGUCGGGGACAGUGCAUGGUAGGCAGUUUGACUGGGGCGGUCUCCUCCCAAAGUGUAACGGAGGAGUUCGAAGGUACGCUUGGUACGGUCGGACAUCGUACCUAAAGUGCAAUGGCAAAAGCGUGCUUAACUGCGAGACCGACAAGUCGAGCAGGUGCGAAAGCAGGACAUAGUGAUCCGGUGGUUCUGAAUGGAAGGGCCAUCGCUCAACGGAUAAAAGGUACUCUGGGGAUAACAGGCUGAUACCGCCCAAGAGUUCAUAUCGACGGCGGUGUUUGGCACCUCGAUGUCGGCUCAUCUCAUCCUGGGGCUGUAGCCGGUCCCAAGGGUAUGGCUGUUCGCCAUUUAAAGAGGUACGUGAGCUGGGUUUAAAACGUCGUGAGACAGUUUGGUCCCUAUCUGCCGUGGGCGUUGGAAUCUUGACGGGGGCUGCUCCUAGUACGAGAGGACCGGAGUGGACGUACCGCUGGUGUACCUGUUGUCUCGCCAGAGGCAUCGCAGGGUAGCUAUGUACGGAAGAGAUAACCGCUGAAAGCAUCUAAGCGGGAAACUCGCCUGAAGAUGAGGAUUCCCUGGAGGCUUGACCUCCUUGAAGGGUCGUUCGAGACCAGGACGUUGAUAGGCUGGGUGUGGAAGCGCAGUAAUGCGUUAAGCUAACCAGUACUAAUUGCCCGUAAGGCUUGAUCCU
rnacentral:rRNA from 1 species